rnacentral:rRNA from 1 species
GACGAACGCUGGCGGCGUGCCUAAUACAUGCAAGUCGAACGCAGUGGGGACGGGUGAGGAACACGUGGGUAACCUCCCUUCUGAGGGGAUAACACUUGGAAAAUGCUGCUAAACCGAUACUGAUGGAUGGACCAGCGGUGGAUUAGCUUGUCGGGGAGGUAACGGCUCACCAAGGCCACGAUGCAUAGCCGGCCUGAGAGGGUGAGCGGCCACACUGGGACUGAGACACGGCCCAGACUCCUACGGGAGGCAGCAGUAGGGAAUAUUCGGCAAUGGACGAAAGUCUGACCGAGCAACGCCGCGUGAGUGAAGAAGGUUUUCGGGUCGUAAAACUCUGUUGGUAGAGAGGCGUUAUCUAACCAGAAAGCCACGGCUAACUACGUGCCAGCCGCCGCGGUAAUAC